UUCAAUUUUAAUGCUUAAUCCCCUCUGUUAGGUGAGAAAAGUUAAACAUGAAGCAGUUAUGCCAACUGAACCAAAGUCAGGCCAAGAAAGGCUGCUGGGAAAGUCUCUGAAAGUAGAAUGAAGGAAUACUUGUUUAAGUUACAGAGAGUGAGAAAAAAGGGGAGGCCUGCAUUCCUGCAUUUUAUACCAGAUGUACCGGGAACAGUCCUUGAGAUAUGGGGGCACUAUUUUCCACUCCCUGUUUUUGUGUUAUGUCUGUUCUUAACUCCUCGUCUCCUGGUUGACACCCAUACCGAUAAGAAAGUUAGUGAAGCAUUACGAUUUGCUAAAAGUUAUCUACAAUAAGGGGGUAGAAGUGCGUGCAUAAUAGAAAAAGAGGAUUUUAACUAACAUAGGGGAGGAGUGGGCUGCUUUAUGAAUAAA